rnacentral:rRNA from 1 species
UACGUAGGGGGCUAGCGUUGUCCGGAAUCAUUGGGCGUAAAGAGCGCGUAGGCGGCCAGACAGGUCCGUUGUGAAAACUCGAGGCUCAACCUCGAGAUGUCGAUGGAAACCGUCUGGCUAGAGUCCGGAAGAGGAGUGUGGAAUUCCUGGUGUAGCGGUGAAAUGCGCAGAUAUCAGGAAGAACACCUAUGGCGAAGGCAGCACUCUGGGACGGUACUGACGCUGAGACGCGAAAGCGUGGGGAGCGAACAGG